AACAAGCAACCUCAUGUCUGUAGACUGUUUAGGCUGUGACUUUUGCAAUAUGUAUUAACAAAAUCAAAUUGCACUUGUCCCGGCCUUCAUUUAACUACAAUUCAAACCACAGAUUGAU
rnacentral:precursor_RNA from 9 species